AUCCAGCUGACGAGUCGCAGACAGGACGAAACGCGAAUCUUGGAU
rfam:Schistosoma curassoni strain Dakar, Senegal genome assembly, scaffold: SCTD_contig0000297